UUUUUGCGAUGACACGCAAUCAAUACAACUUUCAACAACGGAUCUCUUGGCUCUCGCAUCGAUGAAGAACGCAGCGAAAUGCGAUACGUAAUGUGAAUUGCAGAAUUCAGUGAAUCAUCGAAUCUUUGAACGCACCUUGCGCCCCUUGGUAUUCCGAGGGGCACACCCGUUUGAGUGUCGUGAAAUUCUCAAAAAACCCCUCCUUUGGUGGAGAGGAUUUUUGGACUUGGAGGUCUUUUUGCUGGCUUCACCUUGAAGCGAGCUCCUCCCAAAUGGAUUAGCGGGGUCUGCUUUGCCGAUCCUUGAUGUGAUAAUACAUUUCUACAUCUUGGGUUUCUGCACUGUACCUCUGCUUCUAACUGUCUCAAUGACAACGAUGGUGCUCCGGUCACCACCGAUUCAUAUCGGUGGGAGGCUUGACCCACAAAACGACCUUGACC
rnacentral:rRNA from 1 species